UACGUAGGGGGCAAGCGUUAUCCGGAUUCACUGGGCGUAAAGGGAGCGCAGGCGGCAUGGCAAGUCUGAUGUGAAAACCCGGGGCCCAACCCCGGGAGUGCAUUGGAAACUGCCAGGCUGGAGUGUCGGAGGGGUAAGCGGAAUUCCUAGUGUAGCGGUGAAAUGCGUAGAUAUUAGGAGGAACACCAGUGGCGAAGGCGGCUUACUGGACGACUACUGACGCUGAGGCUCGAAAGCGUGGGGAGCAAACA
rnacentral:rRNA from 1 species